UCAUAUUUUAAAAAUUGAAAAUUAUUAAUAUUUUAUACGAUAAAUUAAUAAUAAAUAAUAUUGUUUAUUGAUAUUUUGAAAUUUCGCAGUUUGUUUUUCGCGGAAAAAAUAUAAGAGUAUUAAAUCUGUUUCCAAUGCGUCUGGUCGAAUGAUUCAGAAUUCUGCUCCGAAACAAGUCGGUGCAGGUUCAGUCUUGUCGAACCGGACAUACCUGGCGCAUCUUCAAAGUAUCUACUGACGUGUUGCUAAGUCGAAUGUAUCGUUUGUGUUACAGAAGAUUGUCUGAUGACGUUAGUUUCGUGAUAUACAUAUAGCGGUCUUUAAUUUCAAAUGUAUCAUUCAAUUUGCUGCUGUGCCUUGAUGAAAAACCUCUCCUGCCAGAACCCAAGGGAGUAACCUGAUCCCUCCAUGAGAUAAGAAAGCAGCACCGAUCAACAGUGUAGUGGGAAACCAUGUGAGAUUUUCAGAGUUAAUGAUGCGACUAUCAUCCAAGUAUCCAUAAAUUGCCGCUAAACAAAAACAAAGGCCCGUUCCACCAACGGACAGAAAAGAUAAUAAUCGUUUACCAGCAAAAUGAAUAACAAACACGCAAAUCAUCGUGCCUAUUAAUUCAGCUAGACCGAGGAAUACAGCAGCCGUAUAUUUUUCGAUUGGCGUGUGCAGUUUCAUGAAAAUCAUCACAGCGUAAGUUUGAAGGGUGUUGGUGCCACCGAAAUUGCCUAUGAAGAAGGCACUGGUCACCAAAAGAAAGGGUGUGUAGAAGGUUUUCUUGCUGUAGGAUUUCCAUAUUUUCUCCUGAGAUGCUGCAGGUUUGUUCACGUCCUCACAAAUAAUUUGCAACUCUGAUUUCACCUGAGCUGGACUGACCCAACCUCGAAGCCAGCAGAGAGCUUGUUCUGCCUCUUUCUGUCUUCCUUUUGCUAAAAAGAUGUUUUUUUUUAAUAUCUCAAUUGCAAUUUAUCUGAUACUUGAGUAUCAGAUAUUUUGGGUAUAGACUUCUUUUUUUUAAUGUAAAUAUUUGAAGAUUAUAUUAAGAGCGACAAUAGAUUAGAAUUGAGAAAAUUGUGAAAACUUUUUUAAAUAGAAGGUUUAUAAUUGCUAUUUACUUCUAUUUAUUCUGAUCCAUUUCUUGGAUAUAUAAUAAUCUGAUCUUUAGUUAUCGCAUAAUAAAUUUCAUUUUUGAUAACGUACUUAAGAAAAUAUUUAUAUAUAGAAAGAUUUUUCGAUUAAAACGAAUCUAAACACGAUCUGUUUAUUUUAUUCAUUUUCAAAAAUAUCAAUAUAUAAUUAUAUAUUAAUAAUAUUUUCAUAAAUGUAUAAUGAAAGAUAAAAAAAAAUUUGUUUUCAUUGAUUAUCUUUACGCUUGCUUGUAUCAAAGAUCUUAAAAAAAAAAUAGUUACAUAAUGAAUCAUUAUUUAACAUCAUUUAUAAAUUUAAUUAUUUGUUAAAUUGUGUGCAUCAUUAACAACACUUUAAAAUUGCACGAACAUAAUACAUAUAUAUAUAUAUAUAUAAUAAUAACAGACGUCUCUUAAUUAACAAUAACUUAAUAAGGAUGGUGUAAUGAGGCGUUGAAAGAACAUUAAAUAAGAAAAUUUACCAGCAAGCCAAUAAGGACUUUCGGGCACGGCACAGAGAGCAAGAAAGCAUAUUAGCGGAUAGAUCAAAUUGACAAGUGUCACAGUCCUCCAGUUACCCAAUUUGCCACCUAACAUCUGAGUGAAAAUGCCUAAAAUAAUGGACAUGGUGGAGGUGGCGGAUAACAUGCCACGUAAGUGGGGCUGCGUAACUUCCGCCACGUAGGUCAUCACAGGUGCCUCAAGGAGGCCUCCUGUUAGGCCCGUCAUGGCCAAUGCUACGAAUAACAUUCCAGCUGUUGUAGCGUAAUAAUAAAUAACCCAGGCUGCCACGAAUGGAAGUGUGGUAAGCAUCAUGCUCCUUUUUCGUCCUAUGAAUUGCGACACUGGCCCGCUGGCAAAGCAACCGAUCGGGACCAGGAACAAGUUCAGACUACCUAUAUUGGUAAAAAGAAAAUUCAUUGUUUAAACGAUUUAGGUUCCCUUUUGAACUUUUUUUUUAUUUAUAUAGGAAAAUUGUGGAACAAAAUGAACUUCGAGAUAAUUUUUGCAAUGAUUGAAAUUAAUAUUCACAAUCUUUUUGAUAGAAGGUUUAUUAGAACAUAAAAUUUCAUUAAAACUGCACAUUUCAUUUUGAAAAUUAAGCCUAUUUUUUUCCUUUAAUUUAUUAUAUUCCGUAUUAAAAUUGCUUGAAAAGAAAAAUCCGCCUUAAGUUUUGAGCUCUUAUAUCCUCAUUUAUAUCUUUACUACCGUGUACUAUUAUAAAAAUUGCAAUUAUUACUAAAAGGAAAAUUCCUGUGAAAAGAAUCAAGUUAGCUUUAUUAUUUUGCUACAUUCUCGCUUAUAAUAUUAUUAUCUACACAUGAUUUAAAUAUAAUAAUCGCAAAACAGAAUAAUAUCGACGACUCUUAAAUUAUUUUGUCUUUAUCACACAUGGGAUAAAAAUUAUAUAAUAUGUGUAAUAUAAGUAGUUCUGUUAAAAAAAAAUUGUUUACAAUUUGAAUACGAAAUUCUAUUGUUUGAAUGAAAUAUCGUUCGGGGAAACAAGGUAGUAUUCACGUUCGGCAAUUUUGUUUUGUUUCGUAAGAAGCAAGGUAAACGAGAUGCUCACUGAUCCACGUCAAUUCCUCUAUGGAAACUGGAAUCUCGGCGUUGUCCUUCUGCAACUCGGGGAUAAGGAUGGUGGAAAAUCCCAAAGUGGAUCCAAAUGUGAUCAUCAACAGAUUUUUCGCACUGACUGCGCAGAAUUGUGGAAAUGCUUGGCGAAGUUUCGAUAUUGGAUGAUUCUCAGAGGUGCCAUUUAAAUCAGCUUGUGACAUCUUUUCAUCGUUCCUGAAACGUGAACCAAAAUGAUUACAAAAAUACGUUACAAAAAUAAGCGUCGAGUUUAUGUGAUUUCAGAGAGAUCAAAUUAAUUCAACUUUCUAUCGAGAUCGCUGAUCGAAGAAUAUCUGACCUUUUAAGAAUCGUAUUUUCUGAAAAAAAAAAAAUUAAAAAUUUCCAAUUGUGGAAUAUUUGAUAGAAUACAAAAGAAGUUAUUGCUGCUUGCACUCUUUCCUAGUGGGAUCUUAUAAGUGAAGUUAUAAUUUGACAUUCGUUAAAAUUAUCGUUUCUUUUAAAAUUACAAUUUUUUACUCGUAUCAUUUUCAUUAGCAUAUUCUACAGAAAUAUCAGAUCUUUUUGCAGUUCUCAACACAUUCAAUGCGAAUGAUACGAACGUAUAAUACAUAAUUUUUUAUUCUAUCGGCGGAUGACGCGAACAUAUCCGUCACGAAGAUUUUCUAUCCAGCGGAUGACGCUGGAUACGAUGGCGUCAUAAGUUUUCUUCCAAAGAGUUUUCCAAUAUCUGUAUUGAUGUGCUGAAGCAGACAAUAAAAAUUGGGAAAAAUCCAAGGAAAAAUUCUAAUAUCCAACAUUAUAUCCUAUUCGUACAUCCUAUAAAGACUUUAAAAAAAUAUCAAAAUGUAUAAAAAAGAUCAUCGAUUUUUAGAUGUUGUUAGAUUGAAUGUGUUAACUCGAAGUAAUAUUGUUAUUUAUUUAUUUAUAUCGGCUCUUAGAUCUUUUUAAAAUUUUAUUUACAUUCUCGAUCGAAUUUAUCGACCAAAACAUAAUCAUUCGUGCAAUGUAACUGAGAGUUAACGAUUAAAUAAAUUUAAUCUGUAUUUUAUUCAUUUGAUCGAGAUAGUAAAAUUCCAAAAUUUUUUUCAAUUUAGAAUUGAGUUAAUAGCACUCAGGUUGAUGAUUAUUUAAUUAUGCUUUAUCGUGCUGUAAUUUAAAACGUGUCCUCCAUCCAAUUCUAAUCCGUUCUCUAUGCGCUUAUGCUUAACAGAUUAUCAAGGUUGCAAAUCGAAGCGAAUCUUCUGCGAUCUGUCGAUUAAAAUUUGUUUUAUUAACGAAUAAUUAAUAAAGACUUUAUUUCCUUUUUCAUCGAGUUUUCUCCAAAUUUUUUUUUUUAAAUUUAGACAUUUUUUUUUCUUUGUCUAUCUAAAUCGUUUUUAUUCAUCUUUCGACGCGGAAAAGUAUUACAAUUUUUUAAAGGAAAAGAAGAAAGAGAAAAAGAUUCCUCGCUUUCUUUCAAUUCCAACAAUUUCUUUUACAUGUUGUUAGACUUGGCGUCAUUGACAUAGAUUUUCUUCAGCGUGAAAGGUUCAGAGUUACAUAAGAUUUGUUGCACGUUUUUUGCACGUUUUGCGUAAUUUUAAAGGGAAAUUGGCUUUGGAAUUCGAUUUGCGAUCCGAUCCGAAACGAUUUGUAUAACUUAUAUCUCGUUUUACAUCUGCGUUCGUUCCAUUCGUCAAUUUUGUGGGAAAAAAAGUUUUCCAUACGAAAAAAUUUCCAAAGAAAGAUUGUGUUAUUUAGAUAAAAUCGAAAAAUUUAUCGAUGAAUUGCAAAUAAGCGAGAAGAACAAAGUUCGAAGAUAACAUCAUUUUUAAUUUUGAAAAAUGAUCGUCUUUCGCUAUAUCUAUUUUAAAAUAUUUAUAUUUAUUAUCAUUGUUUAAUAAUUUGUUAAUUGAUGUAUAUAGAGUGUUAAUGUAUUUGCAUAACGUCUUUGGAAAAUCCGAGUUGAAGUAACGUUCUCUGUCACAUCGUCAUCUCUAUUUUCAUGUUGGUUUAUUUAAUGCAAACUUCGAUUGUUUGUAACUUGAUAAAUAAUAUUUUUUGUACACUUUUGCUUUUGUUUUCGUCCCUAGAAUAGAUUCUUUAAAUACAUAUAUAUAUAUGCUUUAGCAUCUGUAAAUAUAGAGUAUUUGUGAAUGAUCAUCGAUAGAUAGAUUGAUAUUAAACAAACAAAUAUAAAAUUUGAUACGAAAAAUUUCGUUUGAUAUAUUCUUCAUUAAGUUAUAAACAGUUUAAUUUAAAUUAAAACGAAAGUUGAAACAAAAUGUGAAUUUAAAAUCUAAUAUUCAAUUUUAUUCAAUUCAAAAUUAAAUUAUUUUUAUAUUUGUUUAAAAUUGAUUUUUCAAAGAUCGAUCGUGAUUUAUUUAUUACACGAAAAUAUAUAAAAAUAAAUAAAAAGAAAAAAAAAUUAUGUUUAAAAUUUGUCACGCUAUAAUAAUCGUAAUGAUUAUUGCAAUUUUCGAGAAUAAAUAAAAUUUGAUAAUAUAAUAUCAAUACAAUUAGCAUAAGUGCUAUCAUCGUUCUCUCUCUCCAAUUGUCUAUUCUCGACUACUGAGUCGUUGCCCUUGCCAAUGUACAUACGCGAUCGAUGGCGCUCGUAUAAAUAUAGCGCGCGUAUAUAUGCGACGAAUUUAUUUAAAUUCUGAAUUUCAUCAAUUAAGAUCGAUCGAUAUAUUUUGACACAUUUUUCAAAUACAUCUUCACAUAUUUUUCUAAAGAAACAAACUUUUUCCUGAUCUCAUAUCGAUUGAACAUUCUUGUAACAAGAAAAUUGUGAUACAUGCGUGGAAUCGAGCGAUGGAUCCAACCAUGCAAAACUAAAAGCGAUAUAACAUGUUCCAGUGUAUAGUUGCCGGACGACCAUAGCAUAUCAUCCUUUCUACCACUAAAAGUAGCUCAAUUGCGACGAAUUUCCACAGGAGGAUAAUACGUGACAUUAUCCCCACUGCCAUUGCUAGAUACAAGUCACGUGAUCAGACAUCCGCCAAAACCAAGCAACGUGUCACAUGACAUGCCUCUGCCUAAUGUACCAAUGACAAUGAGGAUAAUGUGACGUCAUGUGAUCAGAUACCCGUCCAAACCAAGCACCGUGUCGUACGAUUUGCCUCCGUCAACGUAUCAAUGAUAGUGAGGAUAAUUUGACGUCACGUAUUUUUUUUUAAUGAAAAUUAAGCAGAUACACGUACGUCAAAACCAAGCAAUGUGUCAUAUGACGUGCCUCUGCUUAAUGUAUCAAUGACAGUAAGGAUAAUGUGACGUCAGGUGAUCAAAUACCCCUUCAAAUCAAGUAACGUAUCGUAUAUCGUGCCUCUGUCUAAUGUAUCAAUGACAGUGAGAAUAAUGUAAUAUCACGUAUUAUUUUCUAGUGGAAAUUAAAGCAAAUCUAGUGGAAUCUAAAGCAAAUACACAUAUGUGAUCAAACACUUGUCCAAAUAAGUGUCGUACAACGUGCCAAUUAUAGUAAGGUUAUGUAAUCUUUUUUUAUAAAUUAAAUAAAAGCAUCACAUAAUUAUGCAUCCAUCAAAAGCAAGUAACGUGUCUCACGACAUGCCUAAGGUAUCAAUGAGAAUAAUGUGAUAUCACUUAAUUUUUUCUAAAGGACAUAAGGCAGAGAAGAGAUGAUGUGAUGCUUGAUUUUGAUCAUGUGACGUAUUUCUUACGUGACUGGCUAACGUGUAAUGACAAUACCAGUUAGAAGAUCCCAGACACAUAAAAGACCAUCUUGAGAUCCACUACCAGAAGUCAUAGGGCUCAUUCUAUCGAUAAAUAAACAAGAUAUAGGACCACAAUGACCAUGGAGAGUAUAUAAUGAGUAUGAUCUUGACUACCAGUUAAAACCCGACCACCCUCACUAUCGAGUACAGUUAUUGCCUGCUGAUGUGCUUUAUGAGAACCAAUUUUCAUACAACGAAGAUCUUCUUCAGAUUGCAUAAUGUUAUUUAUAUCCAUGGGUGAACCAGCACUUCCUGUUCUAACAUGCGCUAAAGAAAAAGAAGAUAACAUAAAAAUUUAUAUCUAAAUAAUUGUAUAUGCGAAAUUGUUGAAAAUAAAUUUACUUCUUCUAUAGGAAGUGAAGCCCCAA